ensembl:misc_RNA Vault Vault RNA
GGGCUGGCUUUAGCUCAGCGGUUCCUUCGACAGUGUUCUAACAACCUCUUUGCAGAGGUGAGUAGUUCCACAUAGGCAGGUGUUCUCCAACCCUUUU